GGCGAACGCUGGCGGCGUGCUUAACACAUGCAAGUCGAACGGAAAGGCCCCUUUGGGGGUACUCGAGUGGCGAACGGGUGAGUAACACGUGAGUAACCUGCCCUUGACUUCGGGAUAACUUCAGGAAACUGGGGCUAAUACCGGAUAGGAAUCCUUGCUUCAUGGUGGGGGUUGGAAAGCUUCGGCGGUUUUGGAUGGACUCGCGGCUUAUCAGCUUGUUGGUGGGGUAGUGGCUUACCAAGGCUUUGACGGGUAGCCGGCCUGAGAGGGCGACCGGCCACAUUGGGACUGAGAUACGGCCCAGACUCCUACGGGAGGCAGCAGUGGGGAAUAUUGCACAAUGGGCGGAAGCCUGAUGCAGCAACGCCGCGUGCGGGAUGACGGCCUUCGGGUUGUAAACCGCUUUCAGCAGGGGCGAAGCUUGUGGUGACGGUACCUGCAGAAGAAGCACCGGCUAACUACGUG
rnacentral:rRNA from 1 species